UACGUUGGUGGCAAGCGUUGUCCGGAUUUACUGGGUGUAAAGGGCGUGCAGCCGGGAGUGCAAGUCAGAUGUGAAAUCCCGCGGCUCAACCGCGGAACUGCAUUUGAAACUGUGCUUCUUGAGUGCUGGAGAGGCAGACGGAAUUCCUAGUGUAGCGGUGAAAUGCGUAGAUAUUAGGAGGAACACCAGUGGCGAAGGCGGUCUGCUGGACAGUAACUGACGGUGAGGCGCGAAAGCGUGGGGAGCAAACAGG
rnacentral:rRNA from 1 species